CUCUUCCUUGGGCCUCUCUCUCUCCGGCCCAUCUUUCCCUCUCUCUCCCGCAGCCACCUCCUCCGUUCGUACCCCUUCGUGGCCUUCUCCUUUUUCCCCACGUAAAGAAAACCAGAGGGAGAGCACGAGAGGAGCGUGCUCGCCUCUCCAUCGCUGUCUCCAGCCUUCCCCGUGUGGUCCUCCCCCUGCUUUAUCUCUGGAGCCAGCCAACCACUCCAUCGCUCCUCCUUAUCUUCUCCUCCCCUUUUUUCUUCUUCCUCUCCAAGCCAUGAACGAGAAGGAGAAACCCCCACAGCACCGCGCCUCCUCGCCGUCAAUCCGUCGUCUCCGACCGCCCCCAACCUCGCCACCACCACCAAUAGACGCGUCUCAUCGUCCUCUACCUCCCUCUGCAAGGAAUCGAGCCCGGGCGCCCUGUGCUGACGACAUGGUCGCCGAUUCCCCGCCACGUUGCCCGCACUCCGGCGACGAUUCCGGCCACCGUGGGCCUCCUCCGACCAUUCUGAGAACACCGGCAUGCUCCUGAGCUUCAUCUCCGGCGAGCUGUGGUGGUUCCCCGACGCCAAGGCGGCACCUUCUGGACUCCCCUUGGUCUUCCGCUUCGAGCGCACUGACUCUCACAUCCCAACGCAUGUUCCAUCGCCAGAUCGAGGCUCGACUCCGUCAAGUCUGUACGCCAUGGUUGCAUCUUCAAAGUCCGGUAGUGCUACUUCAUGUUGCCGCGCACCUGCUACUGUUCAUCGAUACACACGUAGCCCAGUGAUCCACACAUGGGCCUCGGCCAGAUCCGUCAGGCAGUCCAGCCCACGCGCGUCGGCCUUCCUUCGGCUGGUCAGGUAGCAAGCCACCCCCAGAUCCGACCCAGAACGGCGCAGCAUUUGUUUCUUCCCGGAUAGGAUCGCGAAGUGGUGUGGUGAGAUACGACGAGUUCUCCGGAUGUUCCUCGGCAAGCUUUAACAGGCAAGCAUUUUCCCCUAUACUUCUGCCCCUGCAGAAGUCGCUCACCUAUUUUAUUUUGCCUUCUCCCUUAUGCUAUCCUUGAGUUGCAUUCUUGUCACGUGUCCCUUCCACUUGUUACCUCAAGCAGCCUAUAUUGCCUCCACAAACCUCCUACAGCUAUUGUUUGGUUAUCGGGUCUGCCUUGCGAGUCGUAGUGCAUGCUAGUGUUGUUUAUAUCUCGUUACCGUUAUCAUUAUCUUAUUGGGUUAUCAGUUUUGGGAAUCAUGACACAUGGUUUAUGGAUAUAUCUGUUGAGGGUAUCAUGGUUACUUGUUAAUAAUUGUUUAGCGGAGACAUCGGUGGGUCAGUUGCUCGUUUUAUGACGGCUCACUUGUGUUUCCAUGAAGCUUAGGACCCCGAGUUCUUGUUAUCUGUUCCGAGACUGAGCGCUCUAACCACACGUGGGUAUGUUUCUGGGUCUCCCCUCAACCACUGCUGGAAUCUACAGCUUUGUCCAGUGGCCACAACUAGUUUCGUAAUGUUUUACCAUUUGUUGUUGCGUGCAUGCCAGCCUGUUACUUAUUUACUUUGGGAAGCCCCUGGGUUCCUUGUAUCCCUUGUUUCUGGUAUGCACGUAUAGGUCGUGGAGCCUCUGCGAAGUGGUUUAUCGCCCCAGUGUGUGUUUAAACCACCUAGCACGUUGACACACAUAGCUAAGUCCGCUUCGGAGAUACGGCCGGACUUUGAUACGGGUUCAACUUAGUUAGGUGGCUUCCUGGACAUUGUUGUCGUGAAGGAGAGUGCGAGUCGUGAUAUCCACCUAUCGCAAGUGGUUUGAUCGUGCGUGUGGGCACAUUUGGGCACCCCUGCAGGGUAAAAUCUUAUCGAUAAGCCGCGUCCGCGGUUAUGGACGACUUGGAGCUGUAUGACUCGACCAUAGACAACUUACACCUGUUGUUUCAAUACUAAUAACUUGCGUAGUAAGUUAGUACAACUUCAAUAAUAAAUGGUUAAAACUUGUCAACCGUGUGAGUGCCUUUGUAAGUACUUCCUUGCGAGGGGGGAACGCAUCGGCUGUGUUAUGUUUGCAGAGUAUAGAACUGUUAGUUACGCUCUCUCACCUUCUCUGUUUAGACGAAUGUUGUAGAGUGUCUCUAUAGGUUUUUAGUGCUUGCGCGCUGCCGCUUAACCCCACCAUAUUGCCUAUGACGUUCCUCUUGCGUCCUCUAAGUCCCCCGCGUGCCUCAAGUACAAAGGACGACUGGUUGACGAAUGCUUAUACGUCUUGAAGUCUUGUUAAGUACGAACCCGUACUUAUUGCUGCUUCUAUGGGAUAUAACCGGGCAGGUAUGAAGAUCGGUACGAUGAAGACGACGUUAGCAAGGUUACCCUUCCGGCUUGGCCUGGGCAGGGUUAUGGACGCCACUGGUUAUCUUCAGGACUCUUAGUCCGAAUUUGUAUCUUGUCCGUACUCGGAUGUAUUUGAUCUUCUGUAUGAUUUGGAUCUUUGUAUGUAUCUAUUUGUAUCUUGACUCGUUGGAGUCGUUGUUGUAAUAUAUCUGUA